rnacentral:tRNA from 1 species
GCGGAAGUAGUUCAGUGGUAGAACAUCACCUUGCCAAGGUGGGGGUCGCGGGUUCGAACCCCGUCUUCCGAU